rnacentral:tRNA from 1 species
GCCUGGGUGGCUGAGUUGGUUGAGCAUCUGACUUCAGCUCAGGUCAUGAUCUCGUGGUCUGUGAGUUCGAGCCCCAUGUCGGGCU